GACGAACGCUGGCGGCGUGCUUAACACAUGCAAGUCGAACGGAAAGGCCCUGCUUGCAGGGUACUCGAGUGGCGAACGGGUGAGUAACACGUGGGUGAUCUGCCCUGCACUUCGGGAUAAGCCUGGGAAACUGGGUCUAAUACCGGAUAGGAGCCAUUUUUAGGGUGAUGGUUGGAAAGUUUUUUCGGUGUAGGAUGAGCUCGCGGCCUAUCAGCUUGUUGGUGGGGUAAUGGCCUACCAAGGCGGCGACGGGUAGCCGGCCUGAGAGGGUGGACGGCCACAUUGGGACUGAGAUACGGCCCAGACUCCUACGGGAGGCAGCAGUGGGGAAUAUUGCACGAUGGGCGCAAGCCUGAUGCAGCGACGCCGCGUGGGGGAUGACGGCCUUCGGGUUGUAAACUCCUUUCGCUAGGGACGAAGCUUUUUGUGACGGUACCUAGAUAAGAAGCACCGGCUAACUACGUG
rnacentral:rRNA from 1 species